AUAAACUCGGGUUUUUAGGGAAAUUUGUCAAAUUAUAAACUCAUAACAACCUAUUCUAUUUGACCUGGUUAAUAGCCUACCCAGGUCGCUGUGUUCCUGAACAUAGAUGGUUCUAACCACAGUCAUUUGCAUAAGUCACUGCAGCUGUAGACUUCCCAUUCUAUUUCAGAUGGCAAAGAAGGAAGUGUCACUUCGUCCCUUGAUGUCCAAAAUUUGUCCAAGUUGAUAGUGUGGUGUAUAAUAUGGCUGCUUUCAGCUCAUUUAGCAGUUUCACCUAUCAAAUAUAAUGAUAGGGCUGCAGCUAGGGGCUCUCACACUUUUCUAUCCUUUAAACAUAUUUUCAACUGCCCCAUUAUCUGCUUUUGGACAUAUGUUUAUAGGGUAAUAAAGUAUUUGAGACUCAUGAUUGCAGUGAACUCACAGCAGCAGCAGGAACCUUAAAGCUAAGGAUAAUUUUUAAUUAAUCUAUUAAUUAAAGUUUUUUUUUUUAAUACAUUAUUUAUUCAAAUAACAAUAGGCUUCACUUCCGGCCUAAUCCUCCCAGCCUCUCUAACAUCACACACACUACAUACAGAUUAACCCAAUCACACCUGCUUAUUAUAUCACUAAUUAGAUCGAUUAUAUAAAUAUAGUAUAUAGUUGGAUACAAAAUUGCACAUCUGUCAGUUAGUUUUCCCUUACAGAUACAAUGCCUCUCAUUGUCUCAUAUCUUAUCUAUCUUAUUUGUAAUUACACUCCAGCUUUCAAACUGUAUAUGUAUCAUUCCACCAGCAGCACCGCUAUUUAUUUAAAUUAACCUUAAUUGGAAUUGUUGCCAAAUACUUGUAUGUUU